rnacentral:lncRNA from 1 species
CUUUACCUGAGAGAGGAGGCUCUCUAGACAUUCAGGGCCUCUCACCCACCCCAGUUCAGACCACCAUGGUUUUGUCCAAACCAGGAGGCUCCUUAGCCUCUCACGUUGCCAGGAAUCUAUGGGCCUUCACAGGGCCCAGGGGGCUCCUGAUGCCCCCUUCCACAUGUGAGCCAGGACAUGAGGCUUCCCUGAAGCAAGGAUUUCAGCCAGAUGCCAUAGACCCUCAGAACUUGACCUGGAAGUCCAGACACUGAACGCAGGCCUCAAAACUGCUGCGGCCUUCCAACUCCUGGCUGUGGGAGAUGACAAGACAAUGAAUGGGAAGGUCUGACACAGAACAAAUCAGCGGUUCUGAAAGCUUGGGGAAUCUCAGACUCCUUUGAGAAUUAUUGGAAAAUGGACCCACUAUAACUUGG